AACCGCGAGGGUUCUGUCACCGUCAUUCCAGUGCCAUCGUUUGUGCCCUUCGUCGCCACCGCCGUGAGUAAAGUCUGCCACUGUUACCGGAGUCUGCAGCCGUGGAUACUGCCAUUGGAGUCGCUAGGAACCAAUUUCUGGAGCUACUCUUGAUGAUUUUGAUGCUGCUACAUAGGUUCCGAGCUGCUGUGUUGUUGCCAAAGGAAGGGAACUCAUAGGAAAAACGUCACCGAGGCUGCUAUUUGGUUUGAUUGUGUUGUUAAUGCGACACUGAGUGACACAGAUUCGAAGACUCAGUUUGAAGCUACGAGAGAUUAUAGAAUUUACUUAUGAGUUAAGUUACAUUCAUAGAGUUCCCUCACUCUUAUUGCUUAACAUUUUUAUUUUAUA